AGGAAAAGACAUCAAUAGAGAUUCCCCUAGUAGCGGCGAGCGAACGGGGAGGAGCCGACUGAUUAUAAUUUAGAGGAAUGACUUGGAAAGGUCAAUCGUAGAGGGUGAUAAUCCCGUACUCGAAAGGUUAUAAGAAGCAUAUUAAGUAGGGCGGAACACGAGAAAUUCUGUCUGAAGAUGGGGGGACCAUCCUCCAAGGCU
rnacentral:rRNA from 1 species